rnacentral:tRNA from 1 species
UGGGGUGUAGUCUAAUGGCAGGACAGCGGUUUCUGGUGCCGUACGUGAGGGUUCGACUCCUUCCACCCCAG